AUCCAUUUGAUGAGUCCUAAAUAGGACGAAAUGCAUGUCAAACAGGAU
rnacentral:hammerhead_ribozyme from 1 species